rnacentral:rRNA from 1 species
GUGGGGAAUAUUGCACAAUGGGGGAAACCCUGAUGCAGCGACGCCGCGUGGAGGAUGACGGCCUUCGGGUUGUAAACUCCUUUUGUCAGGGACAAUGGUGAUGGUACCUGACGAAUAAGCCACGGCUAACUCUGUGCCAGCAGCCGCGGUAAGACAGAGGUGGCGAGCGUUGUUCGGAAUUACUGGGCUUAAAGGGCGCGUAGGCGGUGGUGUAAGUCUGGGGUGGAAUGCUACAGCUCAACUGUAGAGCUGCCUUGGAAACUGCAUUACUUGAGUCGGUGAGGGGAAGGCGGAAUUCCUGGUGUAGCGGUGAAAUGCGUAGAUAUCAGGAGGAAGGUCUGUGGCGAAGGCGGCCUUCUGGCACUUGACUGACGCUGAGGCGCGAAAGCGUGGGGAGCAAACAGGAUUAGAAACCCUGGUAGUCC